rnacentral:rRNA from 1 species
CUCAGGAUGAACGCUGGCGGCGUGCUUAACACAUGCAAGUCGAACGGGAUCCCUGGCAGCUUGCUGCCGGGGUGAGAGUGGCGAACGGGUGAGUAAUGCGUGACCGACCUGCCCCAUGCACCGGAAUAGCUCCUGGAAACGGGUGGUAAUGCCGGAUGUUCCACAUGAGCGCAUGCGAGUGUGGGAAAGGCUUUUUGCGGCAUGGGAUGGGGUCGCGUCCUAUCAGCUUGUUGGUGGGGUAACGGCCUACCAAGGCGUUGACGGGUAGCCGGCCUGAGAGGGCGACCGGCCACAUUGGGACUGAGAUACGGCCCAGACUCCUACGGGAGGCAGCAGUGGGGAAUAUUGCACAAUGGGCGCAAGCCUGAUGCAGCGACGCCGCGUGCGGGAUGGAGGCCUUCGGGUUGUAAACCGCUUUUGUUCAAGGGCAAGGCACGGUCUUUGGCCGUGUUGAGUGGAUUGUUCGAAUAAGCACCGGCUAACUACGUGCCAGCAGCCGCGGUAAUACGUAGGGUGCAAGCGUUAUCCGGAUUUAUUGGGCGUAAAGGGCUCGUAGGCGGUUCGUCGCGUCCGGUGUGAAAGUCCAUCGCUUAACGGUGGAUCCGCGCCGGGUACGGGCGGGCUUGAGUGCGGUAGGGGAGACUGGAAUUCCCGGUGUAACGGUGGAAUGUGUAGAUAUCGGGAAGAACACCAAUGGCGAAGGCAGGUCUCUGGGCCGUUACUGACGCUGAGGAGCGAAAGCGUGGGGAGCGAACA